GAUGAACGCUGGCGGCGUGCCUAAUACAUGCAAGUCGAGCGAACAGACGAGGAGCUUGCUCCUCUGACGUUAGCGGCGGACGGGUGAGUAACACGUGGAUAACCUACCUAUAAGACUGGGAUAACUUCGGGAAACCGGAGCUAAUACCGGAUAAUAUAUUGAACCGCAUGGUUCAAUAGUGAAAGACGGUUUUGCUGUCACUUAUAGAUGGAUCCGCGCCGCAUUAGCUAGUUGGUAAGGUAACGGCUUACCAAGGCGACGAUGCGUAGCCGACCUGAGAGGGUGAUCGGCCACACUGGAACUGAGACACGGUCCAGGCUCCUAAGGGAGGCAGCAGUAGGGAAUCUUCCGCAAUGGGCGAAAGCCUGACGGAGCAACGCCGCGUGAGUGAUGAAGGUCUUCGGAUCGUAAAACUCUGUUAUUAGGGAAGAACAAAUGUGUAAGUAACUAUGCACGUCUUGACGGUACCUAAUCAGAAAGCCACGGCUAACUACGUG
rnacentral:rRNA from 1 species